AUCAAAUGGUUUUGAUGCACUGAUUGUUGUUUUGUUGGAUUUUCUUAUGUUUAGUUGCACUAUGAAUGAAAGUGACCCUAUCUCUCCGUUUCUUUCCUGUCUGCUCCCAUCAGUGAAUUUUUUCUGCCCAAAUUCCUGCUAACCCUUUUAAUGCUCUUCUGUUAAGAUUCUUGAGUCGCUCGAUGUUAACCAUCUCUCUGUCUCUCAAAUAUUUAUAGUUUCAUAUCUCAUUUUGAUUAUUCCGCCUUCCGCCGCCUCCCUCUCCGCCCCCGCCGGUGUAUUUGCCCUAUUUUGAAAGCCGUUCACAGUCGCUGCUCCGGCCGCCGUCGAUCGUCUCCGGUUAGUGUUUGCCCCGCCCCCUGCUCCGCCGCCGACGUUCAUUCUCUUUCAAAAUCAUUAGUGACAUUGUAAAUAUCUGUAUCAUCUCUUUCAAAAUCAUUAGUGUUCAACCAUAUCAAAUCAGUUAGUUUUCUUGCAGUAGCGUUGGAGUUCCAUUUCUGGUGAAGUUGAGGAAUUACUUAUUUUACUCGCUUAUUUUUUUAAUAUUAUAUCUUUGUCAUCCAACUUUACUUGCUUAUUUUUGUAAUAUUAUUGCCGAUUUUUAGGUGAAUUAAGAUUGUCAUAUAUAUUGCUCUUUAAGGUCGAUAGAUUCAGCAAAGCAAUAGAUUGAAAAGGUAUGGAAUUUUUUAUGUGUAGACUUUAAUAUUGGGAUUUACAACAGAUUAUACACUCUCACCGGACAGGUUACUCAUAUACUCACCAUUAUGCAAUAUAAAUUUGGAUUUAAUGUUUUGUUAAUUUUUCCAUCUUCAGCCUAUAAACCAUUUCUUGGGUUGUGCAGUUUGUCGACGAAAAGGAAGAGAAUUUUGGUCCCAAGAUUCAAAAAGAUGUCGACACCGAGAAGCAGCAGCGUCCCCCAUCUCUCAAGCCUCGGUGGGUAUCUGACGGGUAGUGGGUGGCGGGUAUCCGACGGGUAACGGGUGGCAGAUACCCGACGGGUGGGGGUAUCCACGGGUAUGGGUGGCAAAUAAUUUUUUCGAAUAUACGUUUCGCUAAGUCAUGUUAAGGAUGAAAGUCCUCUUUAAUUUAUUUUUUCAUUUUAGUUUGAUGUGUACCGUAGACCUAUAUCAUAUUAACAGUUUUUUUAGUGAAUAAUCUCCAUAAUUUAUAAAUA